rnacentral:lncRNA from 1 species
GAGACAUGCUCGCUAGGAUAUCGCAUCCUAUGCCUACGUAUCUUCUCUAUCCAGAGAAGAAUCAGAGCACUCGUAGCUCGGCUAACGCACGCUACAAACAUCAGAGUCAACGUAGUUCGGGGAAAAGGAGACAUGCUCGCUAGGAUAUCGCAUCCUAUGCCUACGUAUCUUCUCUAUCCAGAGAAGAAUCAGAGCACUCGUAGCUCGGCUAACGCACGCCAAAAAGGGACGCUGAGACAUCAAAAGAAACACUCGAAAGGAAACAGAAUGCCAAUACAUGGACUUACGCCUGACUCUUAACAACAACCAAGGAAACAUAAUGCCAAUACAUGGACUUAUAUCUGACUCCUAACAACAACAACAACAAAAG